rnacentral:misc_RNA from 1 species
UUAAGCUAUUGCAUUGGUGUUCGAAGUUGUUUUAUACGAUACCGUGUAUAGUUUUUUAUUGUUAUGAGUUAAAAAAUAAGAGAGAGUUUGCUUAAAUUUUAGUGUACUUAUGCUCAACUAGUACGUUACGAAUUUUUGAAUUUCUGUUUCGGUACACAAAAAAGAAGUAUGGGAAUGAAUAUUGCAUGAAAACUAAUAUUUUUUUGCAAAAAAUAGAGAAUAUGAAAUGAAUUAAAUAACGAUUAUAAAAAGUUUUAUUACCACUUUCAUCUAAAUAAAAUGAUACAAAGUUGUAGGCUAUAAAAAGCUAAAUAAUUCACAAUAAAAGUAUUUUCGUUGCCUAGGACAAAAUGUCUAAUUGGCCGAUAUUCGAUGAUUUUUAAAUAUAUUCGUGAAAGAAACAUAAGGCUUUAUUUAUCAUAGAGCUGGUGUUGAAGUGUGGAUUUUAUCAAAAUUUCAGUGAAUAAGGGAAAAA